GUGAGGAAUAUUGGUCAAUGGGCGGGAGCCUGAACCAGCCAAGCCGCGUGAAGGAUUAAGGCCCUAUGGGUCGUAAACUUCUUUUGUCAGGGAACAAAACAGAGAACGAGUUCUUUGCCGAGUGUACCUGAAGAAAAAGCAUCGGCUAACUCCGUGCCAGCAGCCGCGGUAAUACGGAGGAUGCGAGCGUUAUCCGGAUUUAUUGGGUUUAAAGGGAGCGUAGGCGGACAGUUAAGUCGGCGGUCAAAGCCCGGGGCCCAACCCCGGCCAGCCGUCGAAACUGGCGGUCUUGAAUGCGCACAAGGGAGACGGAAUUCGUCGUGUAGCGGUGAAAUGCUUAGAUAUGACGAAGAACUCCGAUUGCGAAGGCAGUCUCCUGGGGCGCGAUUGACGCUGAGGCUCGAAAGUGCGGGUAUCAAACAGGA
rnacentral:rRNA from 1 species